UGACCCCAAGAACAUCACGAGCAACUGGUUUGGGCCCAACGUGUGUGAUUACAAAGGUGUUUAUUGUGUCCGAGCAAUGGAUGACCCCAAAUUAAAAGUUGUGGCUGGUAUUGAUCUUAACCAUGCUGACAUCGCCGGUUACCUUCCGGUGGAGUUGGGGUUGCUGACCGAUGUUGCAUUGAUACAUUUAAACUCUAAUAGGUUUUGUGGGAUCAUCCCCGAGAGCUUAUCCGAGCUUACACUUAUGCAUGAAUUUGAUGUUAGCAACAACCGGUUCGUGGGGGAUUUCCCUAAAGUUGUACUGUCAUGGCCGAGCGUGAAGUUUAUUGAUCUCCGGUUCAAUAAUUUUGAAGGUUGUUUACCACCUGAGCUCUUCAAAAAGGAUCUGGAUGCAUUGUUUCUGAACGAUAAUCGCUUCACUUGCAACAUCCCUGAAACAAUCGGCAAAUCGACUGUCUCCGUUGUGACAUUCGCCAACAACAAGUUCAAAGGAUGUAUUCCACGUAGCAUUGGAAAGAUGUCGAACUUGGACGAGAUCAUUUUCUCAAACAAUAACCUCGGUGGUUGUUUCCCUCAAGAAAUUGGAUUGCUUCGAAAUGUUACUAUUUUCGAUGUUAGCAAGAACUCGUUCGUGGGUAGCUUGCCCGCAAACUUUUCGGGAUUCGAGAAGGUUGACGUUUUGGAUAUUUCCGGGAACAAGUUGACGGGGAGUGUGCCGGAGGAUAUUUGCAAGUUGCCGAGCUUGUCUAGUUUCAAGUUUUCUUACAACUAUUUCAGUGAGGAGCAUAUGGCUUGUAUAAAGCCUGAAAGGAAGAACAUUGUGGUGGAAGAUACUGGUAAUUGUGUGGCUGGCCGGAUGAAGCAAAAGACAGAUAAAGAGUGCAAACAGGUGGUGAGUAACCCGGUUGAUUGUAGCAAGGACAAAUGUACUGGAGGGUCUCCACCUUCUAAGCCUAAAUCACCACCACUACCACCGGUCCACUCCCCACCCCACCACGUCGCACUCCCACCCCACCACGUGCACUCACCACCCCACCCGUCCACUCACCACCCCCACCCGUCUACUCACCACCACCACCAGUGCACUCACCACCACCACCCGUCUACUCCCCACCACCACCCGUCUACUCCCCACCACCACCCGUCUACUCACCACCACCACCCCCACCCGUCCACUCCCCACCACCACCACCAGCAGUACAGUCCCCACCCCCACCAGUACAAUCUCCACCUCCACGAACUCCAUCUCCUCGUCCUGUUGUGUCUACACCGCCACCUACAAAAGAUAUUGUCCUCCCACCAAACAUAGGAUUCGAAUACCAAUCGCCACCUCCACCAAUGUUUCCAGGCUACUAAACAGUACUACAGCCUUAACAUCUUUGUAUUGUAUAUUCUCGCUCUCGGGCAUAAAAGGAAAAAAAAAAGAGCCAUAAAUUACAAUUAUGUCAUUACCUUUUCUUGCGUUUGCAAUUACUAUUCAAAUUGUAACAUCAUUGCGAAAGCUCUUAUAUUUAUAUAUGAAUCUUAAUUACUAGUAACUUUCAUCUUUUCCCUCUUCCUCUUUUGUUAAUAUUGGAAAAAUAAAUAUUUGUGAUAUAUAAUUUAUAUGUCACUUCAGCAUGUUGUGUUGGUUUCGGGUUGCAUCAAUUUCAAUCGGAUCAAUUUGAUUUUUGAUCAUUUAUGUUUAUUUUUUUUUCUUUCAAGAGUGACACUUAAUUUCGAGUUUUUUAUUCAUGUUUUUUAAGUUUGAUUUUUUUUUAUAUGUUGGAAUUGGGUAGGUUUGAUUAUUUACUUUUUGAAAAAAGUUUUGGUUUUCUCCUUAUUCUAAUUUGAUAUCGCAACUAUGUUCCAACAUAAAUUAGAAUAAGAUGGAUUAAUAAAAGUUUUCAAAUAGAAAUAACACACAAGAUUUAUUAACAUAGUUCAUAUAACAUUCUUACUUUGUAAAGCCUUAUUAAGGGUGUACAAAAUUCGAUGGAAAAAGCCACCCAAAUCAACUCAAUUCGAUUUUUUUGUUCGAUUUUAUUGAAUUCAAAUAUCUAAAUAUAAUAUUUUAUAUUUUUACUUCAAACCCCUAAACUUUUUUACUUUUCCUAAAAACUUUUACUCCUCUCCUAUCCCACCCCCAAACCCAUUCCUCCACCCCCCCAAUAUUUUUUUUGAAUAUUCCCCCUCAAAAUUUUACUCUCCAAACUCUAAAACUUUUUAUUUUUCCCUAAAACUGUUACUUUUCAUCAUAUACCCUCAAAUCAAAAAUCAAAAUCAUCCAAUUUCACAUAUUUUCCAUGAAAUUGUCUAAUAUUCAAGAAAUCUUCAUUAUGAUCUCCAUGAGUUGCAAUUACAUGUUUCACUUGAGCAUUGACUUAUAAUGUCAACAAAAGCAAAUCCAAAUAUAACACUAAAGGCAUUCAAAUUAUAUAUAAUCAUGUAAUAUUAUAAUAGAACAGUCAACAAUAUUAAUUAUUUGGUCUAACUAAUAAUAUUAUAAAAUUCUAAAGAUCUUAUUAUAUUAAAAAUUAAAUAUAGCGAGCUUAAGGAAAAAAUCAUAUACCCAAAUUUCGUUGCUUUUAUAUAAUAAAGGUAUUCAUCUUAAUUAGUGCCAUCAAUGUUGGUGUAAUUAAUCUUCCAAAAAUGGUAUAAUUAAUCACAUAUUAUUAUGACGUUUUUUUAUAUUAAAAGGUCAAAUUCGGUUUUUGUCCCUCUACUAUAUUAGAAUUAAAAAUUCAGUCUGUUUUAUUUUAAUUUAGCAUAAUUUGGCCCUCUUACUUCAUUAUUAAUUAAUCUAAAAUGUUAACACCAUUAACUAUUUUAAUCAAAAUACUUAUAUGAUUUUUUUUAAAAAAAAAUCAGUGUUAAGCAUUUAGUUAAUACGUAAUUUUUUAUUAAAAUUUUUUUGAUUAAUUUUUUUUAGAAAAAGCACAAUUAAAAAAAGAAUAAUUAACAAUGCUAAAAAAUUGAUAUAAAAAUAGAAUGACCAAAUCAUAGUGAAUUGGAGUAUAAAAACUAAAUCAUGAAUUUUAGAUAUAGUAGAAGGACCAACAUAUAGUUUGACCUAUUAUAAAAUAAAGAUAGAAAAUUCAAGUUAAAAUUGGUUAAAUAGUAUCUAUACAUAAGCCUUACAUUUCGCUUCGCCUCUAAAGUUACAGAACCUCUAAUUAUAUGUGAAACCAGCAAACUUCUCGAGAACUAAAGCAAGAACCCAACAUCCCAUUCGUCCCCGAUAUAAGCUCCUUUCCAUCUCCAUCAACAUUGCCUAACCAGCCUCGGGCCUUCCAAGGUGAACAAACAAAAUGGCAAGUCGUCAAAGUUUUCAGGCCUUCGGCUGCUUUCAUUUGUUCUUUUGGAUUUUCUUUCGUUCAUUCACACCCACUUUCACAGCCGAAGCGUCUUCAAUCGCUGAUCGUCACCUGUUGUCACUCCCCAAAAAUGGUAAACUCCCCGACGGGUAUGAAUAUACGGUGAAAACGACAGAGAAAUUCGAGAAUGAAAGGCUUAGGAGGGCUUUCAUUGCUCUUCAAGCAUGGAAGAAGGCUAUGUACUCUGACCCCAAGAACAUCACGAGCAACUGGUUCGGGCCCAACGUGUGUGAUUACAAAGGUGUUUAUUGUGUCCGAGCAAUGGAUGACCCCAAAUUAAAAGUUGUGGCUGGUAUUGAUCUUAACCAUGCUGACAUCGCCGGUUACCUUCCGGUGGAGUUGGGGUUGCUGACGGAUGUUGCAUUGAUCCAUUUAAACUCCAACAGGUUUUGUGGGAUCGUCCCUGAGAGCUUAUCUGAGCUUACACUUAUGCAUGAAUUUGAUGUUAGCAACAAUUGGUUCGUGGGGGAUUUCCCCAAAGUUGUACUGUCAUGGCCGAGCGUCAAGUAUAUUGAUCUCCGAUUCAAUAAUUUUGAAGGUUGUUUACCAC
rnacentral:lncRNA from 1 species